AUUGAACGCUGGCGGCAGGCCUAACACAUGCAAGUCGAGCGAGCGGCGGACGGGUGAGUAAUGUAUGGGGAUCUGCCUGAUGGCGGGGGAUAAAUACUGGAAACGGUAGCUAAUACCGCAUACCAUCAGAUGAACCCAUAUGGGAUUAGCUUGUAGGUGAGGUAACGGCUCACCUAGGCUACGAUCCCUAGCUGGUCUGAGAGGAUGAUCAGCCACACGUGUACUGAUCAACGGCCCAGCUUCCUACGGGCGGCAGCAGUGGGGAAUAUUGCACAAUGGGCGCAAGCCUGAUGCAGCCAUGCCGCGUGUAUGAAGAAGGCCUUCGGGUUGUAAAGUACUUUCAGUCGGGAGGCGUUACCGACAGAAGAAGCACCGGCUAACUCCGUGCCAGCCGCCGCGGUAAUUC
rnacentral:rRNA from 1 species